rnacentral:rRNA from 2 species
GAUGAACGCUGGCGGUAUGCUUAACACAUGCAAGUCGAACGGGCUCUUCGGAGCUAGUGGCGGACGGGUGAGUAACGCGUGAGAACAUGCCUUUAGAUUGGGGACAACAGUUGGAAACGACUGCUAAUACCGAAUGUGCCUUAGGGUGAAAGAUUAAUUGUCUAGAGAUUGGCUCGCGUCAGAUUAGCUAGUUGGAGUGGUAACGGCACACCAAGGCGACGAUCUGUACUUGGUCUGAGAGGAUGACCAGGCACACUGGAACUGAGACACGGUCCAGACUCCUACGGGAGGCAGCAGUGGGGAAUUUUCCGCAAUGGGCGAAAGCCUGACGGAGCAAUACCGCGUGAGGGAGGACGGCUUUUGGGUUGUAAACCUCUUUUAUCAGGGAAGAAUCGAUGACGGUACCUGAUGAAUCAGCAUCGGCUAACUCCGUGCCAGCAGCCGCGGUAAUACGGAGGAUGCAAGCGUUAUCCGGAAUUAUUGGGCGUAAAGCGUCCGUAGGUGGUUUAUCAAGUCUGCUGUCAAAGCGUGCGGCUUAACCGCAUAAGGGCAGUGGAAACUGAUGAACUAGAGUGCGAUAGGGGUAACAGGAAUUCCCAGUGUAGCGGUGAAAUGCGUAGAUAUUGGGAAGAACACCAGCGGCGAAAGCGUGUUACUGGGUCUGCACUGACACUGAGGGACGAAAGCUAGGGGAGCGAAAGGGAUUAGAUACCCCUGUAGUCCUAGCCGUAAACGAUGACAACUAGGCGUGGUUCGUAUCGACCCGAGCCGUGCCGUAGCCAACGCGUUAAGUUGUCCGCCUGGGGAGUACGCACGCAAGUGUGAAACUCAAAGGAAUUGACGGGGGCCCGCACAAGCGGUGGAGUAUGUGGUUUAAUUCGAUGCAACGCGAAGAACCUUACCAAGGCUUGACAUCCUCGGAACCCUGAUGAAAGUUAGGGGUGCCUUCGGGAGCCGAGAGACAGGUGGUGCAUGGCUGUCGUCAGCUCGUGUCGUGAGAUGUUGGGUUAAGUCCCGCAACGAGCGCAACCCACGUUUUUAGUUGCCAGCAUUCAGUUGGGCACUCUAGAGAGACUGCCGGUGACAAACCGGAGGAAGGUGUGGAUGACGUCAAGUCAGCAUGCCCCAUACGCCUUGGGCUACACACGUACUACAAUGCGUCGGACAAAGAGCAGCCAGCCAGCGAUGGUGAGCCAAUCUCAUAAACCGACGCUCAGUUCAGAUUGCAGGCUGCAACUCGCCUGCAUGAAGGCGGAAUCGCUAGUAAUCGCAGGUCAGCAUACUGCGGUGAAUACGUUCCCGGGCCUUGUACACACCGCCCGUCACACCAUGGGAGUUGGUCACGCCCGAAGUCGUUACUCUAACUGCUUGCAGAGGAGGACGCCGAAGGUGGGGCUGAUGACUGGGGUGAA